AACGAACGCUGGCGGCAGGCCUAACACAUGCAAGUCGAGCGAGACCUUCGGGUUUAGCGGCGGACGGGUGAGUAACGCGUGGGAAUAUGCCCUUUGGUUCGGAAUAGCCCCGGGAAACUGGGAGUAAUACCGGAUACGGUCUACGGACGAAAGAUUUAUCGCCGAAGGAUUAGCCCGCGUUGGAUUAGGUAGUUGGUGGGGUAAUGGCCUACCAAGCCGACGAUCCAUAGCUGGUUUGAGAGGAUGAUCAGCCACACUGGGACUGAGACACGGCCCAGACUCCUACGGGAGGCAGCAGUGGGGAAUAUUGGACAAUGGGCGCAAGCCUGAUCCAGCCAUGCCGCGUGAGUGAUGAAGGCCUUAGGGAUGUAAAGCUCUUUCAGUGGGGACGAUAAUGACGGUACCCACAGAAGAAGCCCCGGCUAACUUCGUGCCAGCCGCCGCCGUAACAC
rnacentral:rRNA from 1 species